AAGCGAAGUAAUGACAGUACCAAUGCGAAGUAUCAAUAUCAAUGCGACAUAAGCAAAGUAACGACAGUAUCAAUGCACUGACACCCUG
rnacentral:lncRNA from 1 species